GCAAACCGUCUUGUGUUUGUCUAUCUAGCAUUGAAAACAUCCUGAUCUAUCUUGAUUUUUUUGGUGAAUUCCGUUGGGAAGGCAGCCAUUUUCAAACAACCCAUCCGGAAAGGGGCCUGUAUGAGGAGGAGAGAUCGCAUGGUAAGAUACAAAUCCGCACCUCUUAAAGGUUCCACAACAACUUGCAGCACUCCCAUUCCUGGACCAAGCUUCUAACACAUAAGUUGUUAGCAACCCUGUCAAGCUGUAUUUAAA